rnacentral:lncRNA from 1 species
AACAUGAUUCUCUUUUCUGUGCUGUUGCUGAGCAAUCUCGAUUCUACUCUCUGAGGAAUCCGUUGCCAUUUAUCUUUAACAAUUUGCUGAAAUACUUUUUAUGUAUCCUAUUUCCGGUCAUAGUCCCAGACGAGACGAACAAAGUAGAUUCAAAGAUUAUGGAUUAUAUGAAAUUGAAAAUAAAUAACUUGAGAUGCUUUCGUUAUUCUAAAAGCAUAUAUAGGCUUACUUUAUGGAUUAGCCGCAAGUCUCAUCACCCCAUUAUACGCCGUAGGCAUAGCUAUUCCGCAGUUGAUAUUACCUUAUAGUCUUGCGUCAUCAGAAACUAAACUGAUGUUUCGUUGUUCAACUGUAACCAUCACAACAAGGAAGAAAACCAGACGUCGUUUCUUAUAUAUAUCAUGUGUCUGCUUAGCGAUCGUCGAGUCAACAACAAAAUGGCAGUUUCGUUAUACCGUAUUAUUUAUAGGCUCAUUGUUUGACCCAUACUGAAUAAUAUAGCUGCGGCUGGCUGGAAUGGUACUCCACAGUCCCGAAUGAAGCUAUGCACUGAUUUCCAUGCAUCGUUUUAGAACAAGUGAACUGCUCUUCGGCUGAGCAUGGAAAAACAAAAUGCGGAGGAGGCAUAUUUGAAUUCUAAAUGUAAUUCUCAUGAAAAAAGUUUCGUUGCCAACAUUUUGAGAGAGGUACGUACGUAGUAAUAAGAAGAUUUAUAAAGUUUCAUUAGCGUAUUUGGACCUACAAACUUUUCCUAGACAUUCAUUACAUUGCCAUAACUUCCGUUACAUCUUUCUUAGCAAUGUCAAGUUCUUACGACGUAAUUCGGGUAAAAAAGAGAGAUUAUGAAAGUUCAAUAAGCAAUUUAUUCAGCUAAUAAUUGCGUAGAUCUUUGUCCUUCAAAAAGUUCUCACGAUAAUCUACUGCAAGGGCCUGUCUUCUCUGUAAGUCUAUAUUAUUAUAUGAGCAAUAUCUUCAAGUUCAAGGAGGACAUACGACAAAGUUUAAAAAGUAUGAUUAGAUUUGAAAUUAUUUUCUGGACAGAAGUUAAUCCAAUAAUCCAUUCAUGAUUUCCGGAUCAUUUUUGUUCCACCUAAACGCCAGGCACCUUUUUAUCCGUUUUGCUUGAAUUCAUUAUUGGAUGUUAAACUUGAACUUGAAAAAACCACAUAGUAAUCUCACAUUUGCUGGAAAAGCACAGAUUAAAUUCUUGAUAACAUAAACCUGCAGCACGUGCCUAACUGCGUAGCUUACGCCAACGCAAUCCGCCAUUUACAGUAGCAAAGAGGGGUGGAAAGUAUUAAUCGCGUUAAUAGAAGAGACUCUAGGUAGCCUAAAUUUAAAUGAGGUUCAAAUAGAACGUUUCUAAUCUACUGAUGUAAAGUAAAAAGCUCGUGAUAGUCGUAAAUUGGCAACUGUCGAUCUAUUUUUAUAAAGAAGUAUGAUACUCAUUCAUAUCAUUUGAAUUGAUGCCAUAAAGCGACAGAUUACAAGUCACUGUUAUAAUGCCAACAAAAAGAACAUUUUCAGUUUCAGGCGGUGACUGUAGACAAAUUGUGGUGCUUUAAAAGAUAUCCACGUCGUUCUUUUUCCUUUCCUUUUAUGAAUAAGAAAUCCAAAUCUGAUUUGAAUAUCAAAAGUUCGCUUGGGUGUGAACCGCUUAAAAAAAUCGACUUUUAAAACACAAUCCCGAAAAGCAGAAGCAUGAAGAUGAUGAGAUUCAAUUAUUUCAAGUUUUUAGUAUACCCGAUUGAAUAUUGCAAGAAUUUCAGAUGAGAUACUACUUCUUUUAAUACUUAGACCUAACUGGCUUAAAAUAAAUAAAAUGAAAUACUUGAAUAAAUUAUGCAACCUUUCCUUUAUCUAUUUAGGAUCACUAAAGGUUCCCUAUUCUUUUUUGUCGGAGAAAUUUUUCAGAAACCCAAGACGGGUCUGAAAAUCAUGUCAUAAAAUAAAAUGUUAACUUUUUUCGCACUUUAAAUUUGGAUACCUCAAUAAAAUUGCGAAAUGAUAAAAUAAAUAGUUUACUGUCGGGCAUGGCCAAUGCCAGACUAUUUAUGGUAAUGUGCAGUGGUCUCUCUAUGCGGGGAGUUUAAAGUAGUCAUGAGUGAUUACCAUUCUUGGCAAGUUUCACGAUUUCCGACCAUGCCUCUAAAACGCAAGGCUGAAAAACUUUUCUAGCCGUUCAAUCCAUUGAUCACCUUAAUUGAUGGAUAUACUGAUAGUGAAUGGUGCACGGCGAGGUUACUCACGCUCACUUUUCUGUUCAUUCAUCCGAUCGUUCGUUCACACAGCUUUUUAAAUUCGCCUUGAAUGAUUUUUCAGUAACUUGUAUUUUACUUGGCAAUCCAUCUUUCACUGUUAUAAACAUUAAAAAAAAAAUUACACGGUUUAUCAAUUAGGUGAUUUGCCCGCGGCCGUAUGGCCUAACGGAACCAGAAUAGGACGCAGACUUGUCACGUUCACACCUAUUUAAUAUGUACGGCAGCUGCAGCUUGAAAGGAGGUGAUGCUGUGUGUGUGUUACUCUCUUGUCGGUUACCGACUUUGGCGACCCACUAUGCGAUUAGGAGCAGUCGGGAAAAUCCCUCUGUCUGCUUUCCAGGAAAUUCGUUCAACACCUCAUCAGGAGGUUGCUAAUUAUUUAGAUCCUGGAUCAAACAACCGUCAUCUUUGUAGUCCAUACAAUCAAAUUCCAGCAGUACCAUACAACUUAAUAUUUAGAAUAGUUUUUACCGUGUGGGUGGCCUUCGUAUAUGAUUCAUGAUCAAGUCCGAGAUGUGGCAAAUGCUGAUUAAGAACAAGAAAGAAAGUGCACUAAACACACUCCAUCCCGAUGCAAACCUGUAGUGGGUGGAUAAAAAAUCAUUGAUGUGAACUGUUGACCUAACAACGAAAUCCCUUGGAUACAACAACAGUGACCAUAUGACCGCUAUCUUGAAACCUAAUGCUCUUGUUGGAUAUGUCGGCAUCUCGGGGAGACCCGCAAUCAUCCGCCAAAACAAAAACUUCAAAGCCCCAUGAAGAUGGUAACUCGGUACUUCUGCUGCAGGUCAUAUCAGGCCUCUCACUUUCUAAUGUUUUUCUUUUGUUUGUUUUUCCGGACGGAGGGAGGGGGAGUUUCAAAUCCGUUCAGUCGCUAACCUUAUCACUUAUAUAGAUGGUCCAGUUCUUUAAGUCGUUGAGCCAAAGAAGACCUCUGAGGACAAACACUGCAGCACUGGAACCCACCAGCAAAUAUUUCUCCGCUGGAAAGAUUCAUCCCACGCUGAAGCCCAGAGGUUUGCGCGCGCUUACCAUCCAGCGGCCUUAUGGGACUGUCUACACCUUUUUGGAGGAGUCAACGAUGGGAGGGAGCUGUUGAACUAUAAAAGGGGAUCUCGUCGGAGUCAACGUGACAGACACCUUCUACCUGUGAUUGGUUGUACCACUCAAAUAGGGUGAACUAUUUCAAUUUCGUGUAAGUUAUUACAUUGAGCUUCGUCCCUUCCGUUUGACAUCAACCAACUUUCUCCGCACCGCAAUUGAUCAGGAUCACUACACUUCAAGCACUUCAACUUCAAAUCAACUCCGAUCCGUGGGCUUCAACAAACAAAAGUGCGUAUCACUUUUUUUCCUGUUUAUUCAGGAAUUUUGUAAUAACCUGUUCGAGAGAGAGAGAAGCAAUGCCCUUAUGGCGUAUACUUAACUUGAUUCGAAUUUUUACCGGAAUCUGCUUUUUGUUUUGCUGAUCUAAAAAUAAAUUUGUAGUAAAAAAAGAGAAAACUAGCUGAAUAAUCUCUCGAAGAGACAUUCUCUUAGCAAUAAACUUCCUAACAACAAAGUCCAGCAUAUCUUUUAUUGGUGCGUUGAAACAUGGCCCACACCUUUUGGCUCUGGCCUGUCUACCAGCAGGUGCAUGGGGGAGAAACUGAGAGACUUCAAUUUUCAACCAUUCAAAAGAAGGCAUUUAAAGAGAACAAUACAAUAAGAUGGGGUGACGGGGAACUAAAUUCAACCUCGUGGGUCAACAACAGUUUUCGUUGUAAUAGCUGUAAAAAAAGGGUCUUAUGCAAUCGCAUUCCGACAAGACAUUCCCAUAAUAAAAAAAAAUCCAAACUUGAAUCAAAGGCUACCGGCACUUACAUAUUAAACGCCAGGCAAGAAGGUUCGAGCUAUUUUUAUCCGAUUUAUGUCUAUCAGAGAAGUAAUAAAUCAUAGCAUGCUGGGGCGAUAAGGCGCAGUAGAAACUAGCAUGGUUUAUAAAUAGGGUCAGGGAACUCCAUAUCAGAUCGUCGUUUUAAGUCACUCACAGGCAAAAAGUCGUCUUUAAAGAAUAGAUAACACGACAGUCGGCACGCAGAGAAUUAAAGAGUUUCCAAUCAUUAAGGAAGGACGAGACAGUCGCAUUAAUGUCUUACGUGGAAGGGAUGGCUGAAAAAGGCGCCGAUGAUGCAACACACUAUUGUGUCUAUAAAAGGCACAGCUAGAAGAACUUGCCUUUCGAAUUUUGAAAUACCGGCACGUGCGCAACGAAAUGUUCAUGCAAGAAA